rnacentral:lncRNA from 1 species
UGGAAGGCUCUAGGGGAAUAAAGAUGGAAAGACUUCUAAUUUUUAGGUCCGUAUGAUUUGAAAUACUUGCACACAAACCGCACGAAAGCGUUCCUGGAAAUCUCAGCCUAAAAAGGAUGUUUAGUAAUUCUAAAAGGGACUACAAGAUGAAAAAUAAUAGUUUGGGCAGUUAAAAUUUGAGAUUCGACGAUGCCGUAGAUCCGUUUGGUCAUCAGGUGUUAUGAGCCACACCCAUGUCUAGCUAGAAUAGUGUGUUAGGCUCAGGCUAGAGAAGAAACGGGGAACAAACUGAUGAAAGAAUGAUCAUACCGAGGGAAUUCACUCAGAACUAACAAGAAUGAUAACGUGCUCCGACUGGAGCAGUUUAGAAACUGCUGGAAGGCUCUAAUGGAAUAAAGAUGGAAUGCCUUCAAAUUUCUAGGUCCGUAUGAUUUGAAAUACUUGCACACAAACCGCUCGAAAGCGUUCCUGGAAAUCUCAGCCCAAAAAAGGACGUUUAGUAAUUCUAAAAGGGACUACAGGAUGAAAAACAAUAGUUUUGGCAGUUAAAGUUUGAGAUUCGAUGGUGCCGUAGAUCCGUUUGGUCAUCAGGUGUAACGAGCCACACACAUGUCUAGCUAGAGUAGUGUGCUAGGCUCAGACUAGAGAAGAAACGGGGAACAAAGUGAUGAAAGAAUGAUCAUACCGAGGGAAUUCACUCAGAACUUACAAGAAUGAUAACGUGCUCCGACUGGAGCGCUUUAGUAACUGCUGGAAGGCUCUAGGCGAAUAAAGAUGGAAUGACUUCUAAUUUUUAGGUCCGUAUGAUUUGAAAUACUUGCACACAAACCACGCAAAACCGUUCCUAGAAAUCUCGGUCGAAAAAAGGACGUUUAGUAAUUCUAAAAGGGACUACAGGAUGAAAAACAAUAGUUUUGGCAGUUAAAGUUUGAGAUUCGAUGGUGCCGUAGAUCCGUUUGGUCAUCAGGUGUUACGAGCCACACCCAUGUCUAGCUAGAGUAGUGUGCUAGGUUCAGACUAGAGAAGAAACGGGGAACAAAGUGAUUAAAGAAUGAUCAUACCGAGGGAAUUCACUCAGAACUAACAAGAAUGAUAACGUGCUCCGACUGGAGCGGUUUAGGAACUGCUGGAAGGCUCUAGGGGAAUAAAGAUGGAAUGACUUCUAAUUUUUACGUCCGUAUGAUUUGAAAUACAUGCACACAAACCACGCAAAAGCGUUCCUGGAAAUCUCAGCCUAAAAAAGGACGUUUAGUAAUUCUAAAAGGGACUACAGGAUGAAAAAUAAUAGUUUGGGCAGUUAAAAUUUGAGAUUCGACGCUGCCGUAGAUCCGUUUGGUCAUCAGGUCUUACGAGCCACACCCAUGUCUAGCUAGAAUAGUGUGUUAGGCUCAGGCUAGAGAAGAAACGGGGAACAAACUGAUGAAAGAAUGAUCAUACCGAGGGAAUUCACUCAGAACUAACAAGAAUGAUAACGUGCUCCGACUGGAGCAGUUUAGAAACUCCUGGAAGGCUCUAGGGGAAUAAAGAUGGAAUGACUUCAAAGUUUUAGGUCCGUAUGAUUUGAAAUACUUGCACACAAACCGCGUGAAAGCGUUCCUGGAAAUCUCAACCCAAAAAAGGGCGUUUAGUAAUUCUAAAAGGGACUACAGGAUGUAAAACAAUAGUUUUGGCAGUUAAAGUUUGAGAUUCGAUGGUGCCGUAGAUCCGUUUGGUCAUCAGGUGUAACGAGCCACACCCAUGUCUAGCUAGAGUAGUGUGCUAGGCUCAGACUAGAGAAGAAACGGGGAACAAAGUGAUGAAAGAAUGAUCAUACCGAGGGAAUUCACUCAUAACUAACAAGAAUGAUAACGUGCUCUGACUUGAGCGGUUUAGGAACUGCUGGAAGGCUAUAGGGGAAUAAAGAUGGAAUGACUUCAAAUUUUUAGGUCCGUAUGAUCUGAAAUACUUGCACACAAACCGCGAGAAAGCGUUCCUGGAAAUCUCAACCCAAAAAAGGACGUUUAGUAAUUCUAAAAGGGACUACAGGAUGAAAAACAAUAGUUCUGGCAGUUAUUGUUUGAGAUUCGAUAAUCUCGUAGAUCCGUUUGGUCAUCAGGUGUAACGAGCCACACCCAUGUCUAGCUAGAGUAGUGUGCUAGGCUCAGACUAGAGAAGAAACGGGGAACAAACUGAUGAAAGAAUGAUCAUACCGAGGGAAUUCACUUAGAACUAACAAGAAUGAUAACGUGCUCCGACUGGAGCGGUUUAGGAACUGCUGGAAGGCUCUAGGGGAAUAAAGAAGGAACGACUUCUAAUUUUUAGGUCCGUAUGAUUUGAAAUAUGUGCACACAAACCACGAGAAAGCGUUCCUAGAAAUCUCGGCCCAAAAGAGGACGUUUAGUAUUCUAAAAGGGACUACAGAAUGAAAAACAAUAGUUUUGGCAGUUAAAGUUUGAGAUUUGACGGUGCCGUAGAUCUGUUUGGUCAUCAGGGGUUACGAGCCACACCCAUGUCUAGCUAGAAUAGUGUGUUAGGCUCAGGCUAGAAAAGAAACGGGGAACAAAGUGAUGAAAGAAUGAUCAUACCGAGGGAAUUCACUCAGAACUAACAAGAAUGAUAACAUGCUCCGACUGGAGCGGUUUAGGAACUGCUGGAAGGCUCUAGGGGAAUAAAGAUGGAAUGACUUCUAAUUUUUAGGUCCGUAUGAUUUGAAAUACUUGCACACAAACCGCGCGAAAGCGUUCCUGGAAAUCUCAGCCCAAAAAAGGACGUUUAGUAAUUCUAAAAGGGACUACAGGAUGAAAAACAAUAGUUUUGGCAGUUAAAGUAUGAGAUUCAACGGUGCCGUAGAUCCGUUUGGUCAUUAGGUGUUACGAGCCACACCCAUGUCUAGCUAGAAUAGUGUGCUAGGCUCAGGCUAGAGAAGAAACGGGGAACAAACUGAUGAAAGAAUGAUCAAACCGAGGGAAUUCACUCAGAACUAACAAUAAUGAUAACGUGCUCCGACUGGAGCGGUUUAGGAACUGCUGGAAGUCUCUAGGGGAAUAAAGAUGGAAUGACUUCUAAUUUUUACGUUCGUAUGAUUUGAAAAACUUGCCCAUAAACCGCGCGAAAGUGUUCCUGGAAAUCUCAGCCCAAAAAAGGACGUUUAGUAAUUUUAAAAGGGACUACACGAUGAAAAACAAUAGUUUUGGCAGGUAAAGUUUGAGAUUCGACAGUGCCGUAGAUCCGUUUGGUCAUCAGGUGUUACGAGCCACACCCAUGUCUAGCUAGAAUAGUAUGUUACGCUCAGGUUAGAGAAGAAACGGGGAACAAACUGAUGAAAGAUGAUCAUACCAAGGGAAUUCACUCAGAACUAACAAGAAUGAUAACGUGCUCCGACUGGAGCGGUUUAGGAACUGCUGGAAGGCUCUAGGGGAAUAAAGAUGGAAUGACUUCUAAUUUUUACGUCUGUAUGAUUUGAAAUACUUGCACACAAACAACGCAAAAGCAUUCCUGGAAAUCUCAUCCUAAAAAAGGACGUUUAGUAAUUCUAAAAGGGACUACAGGAUGAAAAAUAAUAGUUUGGGAAGUUAAAAUUUGAGAUUCGAUAGUGCCGUAGAUCCGUUUGGUCAUCAGGUGUUAGGAGCCACACCCAUGUCUAGCUAGAAUAGUGUGUUAGGCUCAGGCUAGAGAAGAAACAGGGAACAAACUGAUGAAAGAAUGAUCAUACCGAGGGAAUUCACUCAGAACUAGCAAGAAUGAUAACGUGCUCCGACUGGAGCAGUUUUGAAACUGCUGGAAGGCUCUAGGGGAAUAAUGAUGGAAUGACUUCUAAGUUUUUGGUCCGUAUGAUUUGAAAUACGUGCACACAAACCCAGAGAAAGUGUUCUUGGAAAUCUCGGCCGAAAAAAGGAUGUUUAAUAAUUCUAAAAGGGACUACAGGAUGAAAAACAAUAGUUUUGGCAGUUAAAGUUUGUGAUUCGAUGGUGCUGUAGAUCUGUUUGGUCAUCAGGUGUUAUGAGCCACACCCAUGUCUAGCUAGAACAGUGUGUUAGGCUCAGGCUAGAGCAGAAACGGGGAACAAACUUAUGAAAGAAUGAUCAUACCGAGGGAAUUCACUCAGAACUAACAAGAAUGAUAACGUGCUCCGACUGGAGAGGUUUAGGAACUGCUGGAAGGCUCUAGGGGAAUAAAGAUGGAAUGACUUCAAAUUUUUAGGUCUGUAUGAUCUGAAAUACUUGCACACAAACCGCGAGAAAGCGUUCCUGGAAAUCUCAGCCCAAAAAAGGACGUUUAGUGAUUCUAAAAGGGACUACGGGAUAAAAAACAAUAGUUUUGGCAGUUAAAGUUUGAGAUUCGAUAAUGCCGUAGAUCCGUUUGGUCAUCAGGUGUAACGAGCCACACCCAUGUCUAGCUAGAGUAGUGUGCUAGGCUCAUACUAGAGAAGAAAUGGGGAACAAACUGAUGAAAGAAUGAUCAUACCGAGGGAGUUCACUCAAAACUAACAUGAAUGAUAACGUGCUCCGACUGGAGCGGUUUAGGAACUGCUGGAAGGCUCUAGGGGAAUAAAGAUGGAAUGACUUCUAAUUUUUAGGUCCGUAUGAUUUGAAAUACAUGCACACAAACCCCAAGAAAGCGUUCCUGGAAAUCUCGCCCCGAAAAACGACGUUUAGUAAUUCUAAAAGGGACUAUAGGAUGAAAAACAAUAGUUUUGGCAGUUAAAGUUUGAGAUUUGACGGUGCCGUAGAUCUGUUUGGUCAUCAGGUGUUACGAGCCACACCCAUUUCUAGCUAGAAUAGUGUGUUAGGCUCAGGCUAGAAAAGAAACGGGGAACAAAGUGAUGAAAGAAUGAUCAUACCGAGGGAAUUCACUCAGAACUAACAAGAAUGAUAACAUGGUCCGACUGGAGCGGUUUAGGAACUGCUGGAAGGCUCUAGGGGAAUAAAGAUGGAAUGACUUCUAACUUUUAGGUCCGUAUGAUUUGAAUUACUUGCACACAAACCGCGCGAAAGCGUUCCUGGAAAUCUCAGCCCAAAAAAGGACGUUUAGUAAUUCUAAAAGGGACUACAGGAUGAAAAACAAUAGUUUUGGCAGUUAAAGUUUGAGAUUCGACGGUGCCGUAGAUCCGUUUGGUCAGCAGGUGUUACGAGCCACACCCAUGUCUAGCUAGAGUAGUGUGCUAGGUUCAGACUAGAGAAGAAAUGUUGGGGAACGUAGCAGAAAUUCAAAAUUUUCCUACGUGUCACCAAGAUCUAUCUAUGGAGAGACUAGCAACGAGGGAAGGAGAGUGCAUCUACAUACCCUUGUAGAUCGCUAAGCGGAAGCGUUCAAGUGAACGGGGUUGAUGGAGUCGUACUCGUCGUGAUUCAGCUCACCGAUGAUCCUAGUGCCGAACGGACGGCACCUCCGCGUUCAACACACGUACAGCUCGACGAUGUCUCCCACGCCUUGAUCCAGCAAGGAGAGAGGGAGAGGUUGAGGAAGACUCCAUCCAGCAGAAGCACAACGGCGUGGUGGUGAUGGAGGAGCAUGGCAAUCCUGCAGGGCUUCGCCAAGCACCUAUGGGAGAGGAGGAGGUGUCACGGGAGGGAGGGAGGCGCCAAGGGCUCAGGUAUAGAUGCCCUCCCUCCCCUCCACUAUAUAUAGGGGCAAGGGAGAGGGGGGAGGCGCAGCCUUGCCCCUUCCUCCAAGGAAGGGGUGCGGCUAAGAGGGGGGGAGGAGUCCAUCCUCCCCAAGGCACCUCGGAGGUGCCUUCCCCCUUUAGGACUCUCCCCUUUUUCCUAUAUCUUGGCGCAUGGGCCUCUAGGGGCUGGUUCCCUUGGCCCAUGUAGGCCCAGGCGCACCCCCUACAGCCCAUGUGGCCCCCCGGGGCAGGUGGCCCCACCUGGUGGGCCCCCGGGACCCUUCCGGUGGUCCCGGUACAAUACCGAUGACCCCGAAACUUGUCCCGAUGGCCGAAACAGGACUUCCUAUAUAUAAAUCUUUACCUCCGGACAAUUCCGGAACUCCUCGUGACGUCCGGGAUCUCAUCCGGGACUCCGAACAACAUUCGGUAACCACAUACAAACUUCCUUUAUAACCCUAGCGUCAUCGAACCUUAAGUGUGUAGACCCUACGGGUUCGGGAGACAUGUAGUCAUGACCGAGAUGUUCUCCGGUCAAUAACCAACAGCGGGAUCUGGAUACCCAUGUUGGCUCCCACAUGUUCCACGAUGAUCUCAUCGGAUGAACCACGAUGUCAAGGACUCAAUCAAUCCCGUAUACAAUUCCCUUUGUCUAGCGGUAUGGUACUUGCCCGAGAUUCGAUCGUCGGUAUACCGAUACCUUGUUCAAUCUCGUUACCGGCAAGUCUCUUUACUCAUUUCGUAACACAUCAUCCCGUGAUCAACCCCUUGGUCACAUUGUGCACAUUAUGAUGAUGUCCUACCGAGUGGGCCCAGAGAUACCUCUCCGUUUACACGGAGUGACAAAAUCCCAAUCUCGAUUCGUGCCAACCCAACAGACACUUUCAGAGAUACCCGUAGUGUACCUUUACAGCCACCCAGUUACGUUGUGACGUUUGGCACACCCAAAGCACUCCUACAGUAUCCGGGAGUUGCACAAUCUCAUGGUCUAAGGAAAUGAUACUUGACAUUAGAAAAGCUUUAGCAUACGAACUACAUGAUCUUGUGCUAGGCUUAGGAUUGGGUCUUGUCCAUCACAUCAUUCUCCUAAUGAUGUGAUCCCGUUAUCAACGACAUCCAAUGUCCAUGGUCAGGAAACCGUAACCAUCUAUUGAUUAACGAGCUAGUCAACUAGAGGCUUACUAGGGACAUGGUGUUGUCUAUGUAUCCACACAUGUAUCUAAGUUUCCUAUCAAUACAAUUCUAGCAUGGAUAAUAAACGAUUAUCAUGAACAAGGAAAUAUAAUAAUAAUCAAUUUAUUAUUGCCUCUAGGGCAUAUUUCCAACAGUCUCCCACUUGCACUAGAGUCAAUAAUCUAGUUCACAUCGAUAUGUGAUUAACACUCAAGGUCACAUUCCCAUGUGACUAACACCCAAGAGUUUACUAGAGUCAAUAAUCUAGUUCACAUUUACCAUGUGAUUAACACUUGAUGAGUUCUGGGUUUGAUCAUGUUAUGCUUGUGAGAGAGGUUAUAGUCAACGGGUCUGAACCUUUCAGAUCCGUGUGUGCUUUACAAAUCUCUAUGUCAUCUCCUAGAUGCAGCUACCACGUUCUAUUUGGAGCUAUUCCAAAUAACUGUUCUACUUGGAGCUAUUCUAAAUUGUUGCUCCAUUAUACGUAUCCGGUAUCUCUACUCAGAGCUAUCCGGAUAGGUGUUAAGCUUGCAUCGACGUAACCCUUUACGACGAACUCUUUUACCACCUCCAUAAUUGAGAAAAUUCCUUAGUCCACUAGUUACUAAGGAUAACUUUGACCGCUGUCCUGUGAUCCAUUCUUGGAUCACUCUUGUACCCCUUGACUGACUCAUGGUAAAGCACACUUCAGGUGCGGUACACAGCAUAGCAUACUGUAGAGCCUAUGUCUUAAGCAUAGGGGACGACCUUCGUUCCUUUCUCUCUAUUCUGCCAUGGUCGAGCUUUAAGUCUUAACUUCAUACCUUACAACUCAGGCAAGAACUCCUUCUUUGACUGAUCCAUCUUGAACACCUUCAAGAUCACGUCAAGGCAUGUGCUCACGUCAAGAUCACGUCGGUAUACCGAUACCUUGUUCAAUCUCGUUACCGGCAAGUCUCUUUACUCGUUCCGUAACACAUCAUCCCGUGAUCAACCCCUUGGUCACAUUGUGCACAUUAUGAUGAUGUCCUACCGAGUGGGCCCAGAGAUACCUCUCCGUUUACACGGAGUGACAAAAUCCCAAUCUCGAUUCGUGCCAACCCAACAGACACUUUCAGAGAUACCCGUAGUGUACCUUUAUAGCCACCCAGUUACGUUGUGACGUUUGGCACACCCAAAGCACUCCUACGGUAUCCGGGAGUUGCACAAUCUCAUGGUCUAAGGAAAUGAUACUUGACAUUAGAAAAGCUUUAGCAUACGAACUACAUGAUCUUGUGCUAGGCUUAGGAUUGGGUCUUGUCCAUCACAUCAUUCUCCUAAUGAUGUGAUCCCGUUAUCAACGACAUCCAAUGUCCAUGGUCAGGAAACCGUAACCAUCUAUUGAUUAACGAGCCAGUCAACUAGAGGCUUACUAGGGACAUGGUGUUGUCUAUGUAUCCACACAUGUAUCUGAGUUUCCUAUCAAUACAAUUCUAGCAUGGAUAAUAAACGAUUAUCAUGAACAAGGAAAUAUAAUAAUAAUCAAUUUAUUAUUGCCUCUAGGGCAUAUUUCCAACAGUCUCCCACUUGCACUAGAGUCAAUAAUCUAGUUCACAUCACCAUGUGAUUAACACUGACAGGUCACAUCACCAUGUGACCAACAUCCAAAGAGUCUUGGGUUUGAUCAUGUUGCUUGUGAGAGAGGUUAUAGUCAACGGGUCUGAACCUUUCAGAUCCGUGUGUGCUUUACAAAUCUCUAUGUCAUCUCCUAGAUGCAGCUACCACGUUCUAUUUGGAGCUAUUCCAAAUAACUGUUCUACUUGGAGCUAUUCUAAAUUGUUGCUCCAUUAUACGUAUCCGGUAUCUCUACUCAGAGCUAUCCGGAUAGGUGUUAAGCUUGCAUCGACGUAACCCUUUACGACGAACUCUUUUACCACCUCCAUAAUUGAGAAAAUUCCUUAGUCCACUAGUUACUAAGGAUAACUUUGACCGCUGUCCUGCGAUCCAUUCUUGGAUCACCCUUGUACCCCUUGACUGACUCAUGGUAAAGCACACUUCAGGUGCGGUACACAGCAUAGCAUACUGUAGAGCCUAUGUCUUAAGCAUAGGGGAUGACCUUCGUUCCUUUCUCUCUAUUCUGCCAUGGUCGAGCUUUAAGUCUUAACUUCAUACCUUACAACUCAGGCAAGAACUCCUUCUUUGACUGGUCCAUCUUGAACACCUUCAAGAUCAUGUCAAGGUAUGUGCUCAUUUGAAAGUACUAUUAAGCGUUUUGAUCUAUCCUUAUAGAUCUUGAUGCUCAAUGUUCAAGUAGCUUAAUCCAGGUUUUCCAUUGAAAACACUUUCCAAAUAACCCUAUAUGCUUUCCAGAAAUUCUACGUCAUUUCUGAUCAUUAAUAUGUCAACAACAUAUAAUCAUCAGAAAUUCUAUAGUGCUCCCACUCACUUCUUUGGAAAUACAAGUUUCUCAUAAACUUUGUAUACACCCAAAAUCUUUGAUCAUCAUCAAAGCAUACAUUCCAACUCCGAGAUGCUCACUCCAGUCCUCAGAAGGAUUGCUGGAGCUUUGCAUACUUAUUAGCAUAUUUCAGGAUAGACAAAACCUUCCAGUUGUAUCACAUACAACCUUUCCUCAAGAAUCGUCGACGAAACAAUGUUUUGACAUCCUAUCUGCAAGAUUUCAUAAAUAAUGCAGUAAUUGUUAAUAUAAUUCCAACAGACUCUUAGCAUCGCUACGAGUGAGAAAGUCUCAUUGUAGUCAACUCCUUGAACUUGUCAAAAAACAUCUUAACGACAAGUCGAGCUUUCUCAAUGGUGACACUUACCAUCAUUGUCUGUCUUCCUUUCAAAAUCCAUAUGUACCUAACAGCCUUACGACCAUCAAGUAGUUCUUCCAAAGUCUACACUUUGUUUUCAUACAUGGAUCCUCUCUCGGGUUUUAUGGCCAUGAGCCAUUUAUCGGAAUCCGGGCCCACCAUUGCUUCUCCAUAGCUCGUAGGUUCAUUGUUGUCUAGCAACAUGACUUCCAAGACAGGAUUACUGUACCACUCUGAAGUAGUACGUAUCCUUGUCACCCUACGAGGUUUGGGAGUGACUUGAUCUGAAGUUUCAUGAUCACUAUCAUAAGCUUCUACUUCAAUUGGUGUAGGUGCCACAGGAACAACUUCCUGUGCCCUGCUACACACUGGUUGAAGUGAUGGUUCAAUAACCUCAUCAAGUCUCCACCAUCCUCCCACUCAAUUCUUUCGAGAGAAACCUUUCCUCGAGAAAGGACCCAAUUCUAGAAACAAUUCAUAUUGCUUUCGGAUCUGAAUUAGGAAGUAUACCCAACUGUUUUGGGUGUCCUAUGAAGAUGUACUUUAUCCGCUUUGGUUUCGAGCUUAAUCCUGAAACUUUUUCACAUAAGUGUCGCAGCCCCAAACCUUUAAGAAACGACAACUUAGGUUUCUCUAAACCAUAAUUCAUACGGUGUCAUCUCAUCGGAAUUACGUGGUGCCCUAUUUAAAGUGAAUGUGGUUGUCUUUAAUGCCUAACCCAUAAACUAUCGUGGCAGUUCGAUAAGAGACAUCAUGGUAUGCAUCAUAUCCAAUAGGGUGCAACUAUGAUGUUCGGACACACCAUCACACUAUGGUGUUCCAGGCGGUAUUAAUUGUGAAACAAUUUCCACAAUGUCUUAAUUGUGUGCCAAAACUCGUAACUCAGAUACUCAUCUCUAUGAUCAUAUCAUAGACAUUUUAUCCUCUUGUCACAAUGAUCUUCUACUUCACUCUGAAAUUACUUGAACCAUUCAACAAUUCAGACUUGUGUUUCAUCAAGUAAAUAUUCUCAACAUCUACUCGAAUCAUCUGUGAAGUAAGAACAUAACGAUAUUCACUGCAUGCCUCAGCACUCAUUGGACUGCACACAUCAAAAUGUGUUACUUCCAACAAGUUGCUAUCUUGUUCCAUCUUACUGAAAACGAGGCUUUUCAGUCAUCUUGCCCAUGUGGUAUGAUUUGCAUGUCCCAAGUGAUUCAAAAAUCAAGUGAGUCAAAACGGUCCAUUUGCAUGGAGUUUCUUCAUGCAUAUACACCAAUAGACAUGGUUCGCAUGUCUCAAACUUUUCAAAAACGAGUGAGCCCAAAGAUCCAUCAAUAUGGAGCUUCUUCAUGCGUUUUAUACCGAUAUGACUUACGUGGUAGUGCCACAAGUAGGUGGUACUAUCAUUACUAUCUUUUGGCAUGAACAUGUGUAUCACUACGAUCGAGAUUUAAUAAACCAUUCAUUUUAGGUGUAAGACCAUUGAAGGUAUUAUUCAAAUAAACAGAGUAACCAUUAUUCUCCUUAAAUGAAUAACCGUAUUGCGAUAGACGUAAUCCAAUCAUGUCUAUGCUCAACGCAAACACCAAAUAACAAUUAUUUAGGUUUAACACCAAUCUCUUUGGUAGAGGGAGCGUGCGAUGCUUGAUCAUAUCAAGCAUGGAAAAACUUACAACACAUAUCGUCAGCUCACCUUUAGCUAGUCUCUGUUUAUUCCGUAGCCUUUUGUUUCGAGUUACUAACACUUAGCAACCGAACUGGUAUCUAAUACCCUGGUGCUACUAGGAGUACUAGCAAAGUACACAUUAACACAAUGUAUAUCCAAUAUACUUCUAUCGACCUUGCCAGCCUUCUUAUCUACCAAGUAUCUAGGGUAAUUCUGCUCUAGUAGUUGUUCCCCUUAUUACAGAAGCACUUAGUCUCGGGUUUGGGUUUUACCUUGGGUUUCUUCACUAGAGCAGCAGCUGAUUUGCCGUUUCAUGAAGUAUCCCUUCUUGCCCUUGCCCUUCUUGAAACUAGUGGUUCCACCAACCAUCAACAAUUGAUGCUCCUUCUUGAUUUCUACUUUCGCGGUGUCAAACAUCGCGAAUACCUCAAGGAUCAUCAUAUCUAUCCCUGAUAUGUUAUAGUUCAUCAUGAAGCUCUAACAGCUUGGUGGCAAUGACUUUGGAGAACCAUCACUAUCUCAUCUGGAAGAUCAACUCCCACUCGAUUCAAGCGAUUGUUGUACUCAGACAAUCUGAGCACAAGCUCAACGAUUGAGCUUUUCUCCCUUAGUUUGCAGGUUAAGAAAGUCAUCGGAGGUCUUAUACCUCUUGACAUGGGCACGAGCCUGAAAUCCCAAUUUCAGCCCUCAAAACAUCUCAUAUGUUUCGCGAUGUUUCAAAAACGUCUUUGGUGCCUCAACUCUAAACCGUUUAACUGAACUAUCACGUAGUUAUCAAAACGUGUAUGUCAGAUGUUCGCAACAACCACAGACAACGUUCGAGGUUCAGCACACUGAGCGGUGCAUUAAGGACAUAAGCCUUCUAUGAAGCAAUGAGGACAAUCCUCAGUUUACGGACCUAGUCCGCAUAAUUGCUACUAUCAACUUUCAACUAAUUUUUCUCUAGGAACAUAUCUAAACAGUAGAACUAUAGCGUGAGCUACGACAUAAUUUGCAAAAACCUUUUGACUAUGUUCAGGAUAAUUAAGUUCAUCUUAUGAACUCCCACUCAGAUAGACAUCCCUCUAGUCAUCUAAGUGAUUACAUGAUCCGAGUCAAACUAGGCCGUGUCCGAUCAUCACGUGAGACGGACUAGUCAUCAUCGGUGAACAUCUUCAUGUUGAUCGUAUCUUCUAUACGACUCAUGUUCGACCUUUCGGUCUUCGUGUUCCGAGGCCAUGUAUGUACAUGCUAGGCUCGUCAAGUUAACCCUAAGUGUUUCGCGUGUGUAAAUCUGUCUUACACCCGUUGUAUGUGAACGUUAGAAUCUAACACCCGAUCAUCACGUGGUGCUUCGAAACACGAACUGUCGCAACGGUGCACAGUUAGGGGAGAACACUUCUUGAAAUUGUUGUAAGGGAUCAUCUUAUUUACUACCGUCGUUCUAAGCAAAUAAGAUGUAUAAACAUGAUAAACAUCACAUGCAAUCAAAUAGUGACAUGAUAUGGCCAUCAUCACUUUGCUCCUUUUGAUCUCCAUCUUCGGGGCUCCAUGAUCAUCAUCGUCACCGGCAUGACACCAUGAUCUCCAUCAUCAUGAUCUCCAUCAUCGUGUCUUCAUGAAGUUGCCUCGCCAACUAUUACUUCUACUACUAUGGCUAACGGUUAGCAAUAAAGUAAAGUAAUUACAUGACGUUUAAGUUGACACGCAGGUCACAAAUGAAUAAAGACAACUCCUAUGGCUCCUGCCGGUUGUCAUACUCAUCGACAUGCAAGUCGUGAUUCCUAUUACAAGAACAUGAUCAAUCUCAUACAUCACAUAUAUCAUUCAUCACAUCCUUUUUGGCCAUAUCACAUCACAUAGCAUACCCUGCAAAAACAAGUUAGACGUCCUCUAAUUGUUGUUUGCAUGUUUUACGUGGCUGCUAUGGGUUUCUAGCAAGAACGUUUCUUACCUACGCAUGAACAACAACGUGAUAUGCCAAUUGCUAUUUACCCUUCAUAAGGACCCUUUUCAUCGAAUCCGAUCCGACUAAAGUGGGAGAGACAGACACCCGCCAGCCACCUUAUGCAACUAGUGCAUGUUUGUCGGUGGAACCGGUCUCACGUAAGCGUACGUGUAAGGUUGGUCCGGGCCGCUUCAUCCCACGAUGCCGCCGAAUCAAGAUAAGACUAGUAACGGCAAGCAUAUUGAACAAUAUCAACGCCCACAACUACUUUGUGUUCUACUCGUGCAAAGAAUCUACGCAAUAGACCUAGCUCAUGAUGCCACUGUUGGGGAACGUAGCAGAAAUUCAAAAUUUUCCUACGUGUCACCAAGAUCUAUCUAUGGAGAUACUAGCAACGAGGGAAGGAGAGUGCAUCUACAUACCCUUGUAGAUCGCUAAGCGGAAGCGUUCAAGUGAACGGGGUUGAUGGAGUCGUACUCGUCGUGAUUCAGAUCACCGAUGAUCCUAGUGCCGAACGGACGGCACCUCCGCGUUCAACACACGUACAGCUCGACGAUGUCUCCCACGCCUUGAUCCAGCAAGGAGAGAGGGAGAGGUUGAGGAAGACUCCAUCCAGCAGCAGCACAACGGCGUGGUGGUGAUGGAGGAGCGUGGCAAUCCUGCAGGGCUUCGCCAAGCACCUACGGGAGAGGAGGAGGUGUCACGGGAGGGAGGGAGGCGCCAAGGGCUCAGGUAUAGAUGCCCUCCCUCCCCUCCACUAUAUAUAGGGGCAAGGGAGAGGGGGAGGCGCAUCCUUGCCCCUUCCUCCAAGGAAGGGGUGCGGCUAAGAGGGGGGGAGGAGUCCAUCCUCCCCAAGGCACCUCGGAGGUGCCUUCCCCCUUUAGGACUCUCCCCUUUUUCCUAUAUCUUGGCGCAUGGGCCUCUAGGGGCUGGUGCCCUUGGCCCAUGUAGGCCAAGGCGCACCCCCCUACAGCCCAUGUGGCCCCCCGGGGCAGGUGGCCCCACCCGGUGGGCCCCCGGGACCCUUCCGGUGGUCCCGGUACAAUACCGAUGACCCCGAAACUUGUCCCGAUGGCCGAAACAGGACUUCCUAUAUAUAAAUCUUUACCUCCGGACCAUUCCGGAACUCCUCGUGACGUCCGGGAUCUCAUCCGGGACUCCGAACAACAUUCGGUAACCACAUACAAACUUCCUUUAUAACCCUAGCGUCAUCGAACCUUAAGUGUGUAGACCCUACGGGUUCGGGAGACAUGUAGUCAUGACCGAGAUGUUCUCCGGUCAAUAACCAACAGCGGGAUCUGGAUACCCAUGUUGGCUCGCACAUGUUCCACGAUGAUCUCAUCGGAUGAACCACGAUGUCAAGGACUCAAUCAAUCCCGUAUACAAUUCCCUUUGUCUAGCGGUAUGGUACUUGCCCGAGAUUCGAUCGUCGGUAUACCGAUACCUUGUUCAAUCUCGUUACCGGCAAGCCUCUUUACUCGUUCCGUAACACAUCAUCCCGUGAUCAACCCCUUGGUCACAUUGUGCACAUUAUGAUGAUGUCCUACCGAGUGGGCCCAGAGAUACCUCUCCGUUUACACGGAGUGACAAAAUCCCAAUCUCGAUUCGUGCCAACCCAACAGACACUUUCAGAGAUACCCGUAGUGUACCUUUAUAGCCACCCAGUUACGUUGUGACGUUUGGCACACCCAAAGCACUCCUACGGUAUCCGGGAGUUGCACAAUCUCAUGGUCUAAGGAAAUGAUACUUGACAUUAGAAAAGCUUUAGCAUACGAACUACAUGAUCUUGUGCUAGGCUUAGNNNNNNNNNNUGAUCAACCCCUUGGUCACAUUGUGCACAUUAUGAUGAUGUCCUACCGAGUGGGCCCAGAGAUACCUCUCCGUUUACACGGAGUGACAAAAUCCCAAUCUCGAUUCGUGCCAACCCAACAGACAUUUUCAGAGAUACCCGUAGUGUACCUUUAUAGCCACCCAGUUACGUUGUGACGUUUGGCACACCCAAAGCACUCCUACGGUAUCCGGGAGUUGCACAAUCUCAUGGUCUAAGGAAAUGAUACUUGACAUUAGAAAAGCUUUAGCAUACGAACUACAUGAUCUUGUGCUAGGCUUAGGAUUGGGUCUUGUCCAUCACAUCAUUCUCCUAAUGAUGUGAUCCCGUUAUCAACGACAUCCAAUGUCCAUGGUCAGGAAACCGUAACCAUCUAUUGAUUAACGAGCUAGUCAACUAGAGGCUUACUAGGGACAUGGUGUUGUCUAUGUAUCCACACAUGUAUCUGAGUUUCCUAUCAAUACAAUUCUAGCAUGGAUAAUAAACGAUUAUCAUGAACAAGGAAAUAUAAUAAUAAUCAAUUUAUUAUUGCCUCUAGGGCAUAUUUCCAACAAGAAACGGGGAACAAACUGAUGAAAGAAUGAUCAUACCGAGGGAAUUCACUCAGAACUAACAAGAAUGAUAACGUGCUUUGACUGGAGCGGUUUAAAAACUGCUGGAAGGCUCUAGGGGAAUAAAGAUGGAAUGCCUUCAAAUUUCUAGGUCCGUAUGAUUUGAAAUACUUGCACACAAACCGCGCGAAAGCGUUCCUGGAAAUCUCAGCCCAAAAAAGGACGUUUAGUAAUUCUAAAAGGGACUACAGAAUGAAAAACAAUAGUUUUGGCAGUUAAAGUUUGAGAUUCGAUGGUGCCGUAGAUCCGUUUGGUCAUCAGGUGUAACGAGCCACACCCAUGUCUAGCUAGAGUAGUGUGCUAGGCUCAGGCUAGAGAAGAAACGGGGAACAAACUGAUGAAAGAAUGAUCAUACCGAGGGAAUUCACUCAGAACUAACAAGAAUGAUAACGUGCUCCGACUGGAGCGGUUUAGGAACUGCUGGAAGGCUCUAGGGGAAGAAAGAAGGAAUGACUUCUAAUUUUUAGGUCCGUAUGAUUUGAAAUACGUGCACACAAACCGCGCGAAAGCGUUCCUGGAAAUCUCAGCCCAAAAAAGGACGUUUAGUAUUCUAAAAGGGACUACAGAAUGAAAAACAAUAGUUUUGGCAGUUAAAGUUUGAGAUUCGACGGUGCCGUAGAUCCGUUUGGUCAUCAGGUGUUACGAGCCACACCCAUGUCUAGCUAGAAUAGUGUGCNNNNNNNNNNNNNNNNNNNNNNNNNCGUAUGAUUUGAAAUACGUGCACACAAACCGCGCGAAAGCGUUCCUGGAAAUCUCAGCCCAAAAAAGGACGUUUAGUAUUCUAAAAGGGACUACAGAAUGAAAAACAAUAGUUUUGGCAGUUAAAGUUUGAGAUUCGACGGUGCUGUAGAUCCGUUUGGUCAUCAGGUGUUACGAGCCACACCCAUGUCUAGCUAGAAUAGUGUGCUAGGCUCAGGCUAGAGAAGAAAAGGGGAACAAACUAAUGAAAGAAUGAUCAAUACGAGGGAAUUCACUCAGAACUAACAAUAAUGAUAACGUGCUCCGACUGGAGCGGUUUAGGAACUGCUGGAAGGCUCUAGGCGAAUAAAGAUGGAAUGACUUCUAAUUUUUACGUCCGUAUGAUUUGAAAUACUUGCACACAAACCACGCAAAAGCGUUCCUGGAAAUCUCGGCCUAAAAAGGACGUUUAGUAAUUCUAAAAGGGACUACAGGAUGAAAAAUAAUAGUUUGGGCAGUUAAAAUUUGAGAUUCGACGGUGCCGUAGAUCCGUUUGGUCAUCAGGUGUUACGAGCCACACCCAUGUCUAGCUAGAAUAGUGUGUUAGGCUCAGGCUAGAGAAGAAACGAGGAACAAACUGAUGAAAGAAUGAUCAUACCAAGGGAAUUCACUCAGAACUAACAAGAAUGAUAACGUGCUCCGACUGGAGCAGUUUAGAAACUGCUGGAAGGCUCUAGGGGAAUAAAGAUGGAAUGACUUCUGAUUUUUAGGUCCGUAUGAUUUGAAAUACGUGCACACAAACCCCGCGAAAGCGUUCCUGGAAAUCUCAGCCCAAAAAAGGACGUUUAGUAAUUCUAAAAGGGACUACAACAUGAAAAACAAUAGUUUUGGCAGUUAAAGUUUGAGAUUUCAUGGUGCCGUAGAUCUGUUUGGUCAUCAGGUGUUACGAGCCACACCCAUGUCUAGCUAGAAUAGUGUGUUAGGCUCAGGCUAGAAAAGAAACGGGAAACAAAGUGAUGAAAGAAUGACCAUACCGAGGGAAUUCACUCAGAACUAACAAGAAUGAUAACAUGCUCCGACUUGAGCGGUUUAGGAACUGCUGGAAGGCUCUAGGGGAAUAAAGAUGGAAUGACUUCUAAUGUUUAGGUCCGUAUGAUUUGAAAUACUUGCACAUAAACCGCACAAAAGCGUUCCUGGAAAUCUCAGCCCAAAAAAGGACGUUUAGUAAUUCUAAAAGGGACUACAGGAUGAAAAACAAUAGUUUUGGCAGUUAAAGUUUGAGAUUCGACGGUGCCGUAGAUCCGUUUGGUCAUCAGGUGUUACGAGCCACACCCAUGUCUAGCUAGAAUAGUGUGUUAGGCUCAGGCUAGAGAAGAAACUUGGAACAAACUGAUGAAAGAAUGAUCAAACCAACGGAAUUCACUCAGAACUAACAAUAAUGAUAACGUGCUCCGACUGGAGCAGUUUAGGAACUGCUGGAAGGCUCUAGGGGAAUAAAGAUGGAAUGACUUCUAAUUUUUAGGUCCGUAUGAUUUGAAAUACUUGCACGCAAACCGCGCGAAAGCGUUCCUGGAAAUAUCAGCCCAAAAAAGGACGUUUAGUAAUUCUAAAAGGGACUACAGGAUGAAAACAAUAGUUUUGGCAGUUAAAGUUUGAGAUUCAACAGUGCCGUAGAUCCGUUUGGUCAUCAGGUGUUAUGAGCCAUACCCAUGUCUAGCUAGAGUAGUGUGCUAGGCUCAGGCUAGAGAAGAAACAGGGAACAAACUGAUGAAAGAAUGAUCAUACCGAGGGAAUUCACUCAGAACUAACAAGAAUGAUAACGUGCUCCGACUGGAGCGGUUUAGGAACUGCUGGAAGGCUCUAGGGGAAUAAAGAUGGAGUGACUUCUAAAUUUUUAGGUCCGUAUGAUUUAAAAUACUUGCACACAAACCGCACGAAAGCGUUCCUUGAAAUCUCAGCCCAAAAAAGGACGUUUAGUAAGUCUAAAAGGGACUAUAGGAUGAAAAACAAUAGUUUUGGCAGUUAAAGUUUGAGAUUCGAUGGUGCCGUAGAUCUGUUUGGUCAUCAGGUGUUACGAGCCACACCCAUGUCUAGUUGGAAUAGUGUGCUAGGCUCAGACUAGAGAAGAAACAGGGAACAAACUGAUGAAAGAAUGAUCAAACCGAGGAAAUUCACUCAGAACUAACAAUAAUGAUAACAUGCUCCGACUGGAGCGGUUUAGGAACUGCUGGAAGGCUCUAGGGGAAUAAAGAUGGAAUGACUUCUAAAUUUUUAGGUCCGUAUGAUUUGAAAUAGUUGCACACAAACUGCGCGAAAGCGUUCCUGGAAAUCUCAGCCCAAAAAAGGACGUUUAGUAAUUCUAAAAGGGACUAUAGGAUGAAAAACAAUAGUUUUGGCAGUUAAAGUUUGAGAUUCGACGGUGCCGUAGAUCCGUUUGGUCAUCACGUGUUACAAGCCACACCCAUGUCUAGCUAGAGUAGUGUGCUAGGCUCAGACUAUAGAAGAAACGGGGACCAAACUGAUGAAAGAAUGAUCAAACCGAGGAAAUUCACUCAGAACUAACAAUAAUGAUAACAUGCUCCGACUGGAGCGGUUUAGGAACUACUGGAAGGCUCUAGGGGAAUAAAGAUGGAAUGACUUCUAAAUUUUUAGGUCCGUAUGAUUUUAAAUAGUUGCACACAAACUGCGCGAAAGCGUUCCUGGAAAUCUCAGCCCAAAAAAGGACGUUUAGUAAUUCUAAAAGGGACUACAGGAUGAAAAACAAUAGUUUGGGCAGUUAAAAUUUGAGAUUCGACGGUGCCGUAGAUCCGUUUGGUCAUCAGGUGUUACGAGCCACACCCAUGUCUAGCUAGAGUAGUGUGCUAGGCUCAGGCUAGAGAAGAAACAGGGAACAAACUGAUGAAAGAAUGAUCAUACCGAGGGAAUUCACUCAGAACUAACAAGAAUGAUAACGUGCUCUGACUGGAGCGGUUUAAGAACUGUUGGAAGGCUCUAGGGGAAUAAAGAUGGAAUCACUUCAAAUUUUUACGUCCGUGUGAUUUGAAAUACUUGCACACAAACCGCACGAAAGCGUUCCUGGAAAUCUCAGCCCAAAAAAGGACGUUUAGUAAGUCUAAAAGGGACUACACGAUGAAAAACAAUAGUUUUGGCAGUUAAAGUUUGAGAUUCGACAGUGCCGUAGAUCCGUUUGGUCAUCAGGUGUAACGAGCCACACCCAUGUCUAGAUAGAGUAGUGUGCUAGGCUCAAACUAGAGAAGAAACGGGGAACAAACUGAUGAAAGAAUGAUCAUACCGAGGGAAUUCACUCAGAAAUAACAAGAAUGAUAACGUGCUCUGACUGGAGCGGUUUAGGAACUGCUGGAAGGCUCUAGGGGAAUAAAGAAGGAAUGACUUCUAAUUUUUAGGUCCGUAUGAUUUGAAAUACGUGCACACAAACCCCGAGAAAGCGUUCCUGGAAAUCUCGACCCAAAAAAGGACGUUUAGUAAUUCUAAAAGGGACUACGGGAUGAAAAACAAUAGUUUUGGCAGUUAAAGUUUGAGAUUCGAUAAUGCCGUAGAUCCAUUUGGUCAUCAGGUG